CCAGCUCUUGGCUUUUAGCUUAUUCCCUUUGAUUUCAUGAGCUUGCUCUUUGUGGGACUCUGCACUGUUUCAGAUGAAAUCACACAGCAUAAGCUUACCCCUUUAUUAAAGGUUUGUUUUUAUUUAUAGGUAUGUGUGUCCGUCCAUAUUAGCAUGCAUACAUGCAUGCAGGUACCCCUUGAGUUAGGGGUUACAGAUGCUUCUGAGCUGCCUGAGAUGGGUACUGGGAACUGAACUCAGGUCCUCUACAAAACCAGCCAUUGCACGUAACUGAUAAGCCAUCUCUUCAGUCCUCAAAUUGGCCAUUUAAAUUGAAUAGGUUAGGCCAGGGAUGCAAAUCUGUGGGUCAUAACCUGCCUGACACAUUCUAGGCCAGCUCAGAAGUACAAAUAAAAACCAAGUGAACAAUUUAGUCAACAUGUCACAUUUGUAAUGCUGGCACUAGGGAAGCUGAAUCAUGAGAAUCAUGAGUUCAAGGCCAGCCUGGUCUACAGAGUGAGUUCCAGGACAGCCAGGGCUAUACAGAGAAACCCUGUCCCCAAAAACCUAAAAAAAAAAAAAAAAAAA
rnacentral:lncRNA from 1 species